rnacentral:rRNA from 1 species
AGAGUUUGAUUAUGGCUCAGGAUGAACGCUGGCGGCGUGCUUAACACAUGCAAGUCGAACGGAGUUUUUAAACGGAAGUUUUCGGAUGGAAGUCUAGAAACUUAGUGGCGGACGGGUGAGUAACGCGUGGGUAACCUGCCUCAUACAGGGGGAUAACAGUUAGAAAUGACUGCUAACACCGCAUAAUAUAGCGAAACCGCAUGAUUUUGCUAUCAAAUAUUUAUAGGUAUGAGAUGGGCCCGCGUCUGAUUAGCUAGUUGGUGGGGUAAAAGCCUACCAAGGCGACGAUCAGUAGCCGGCUUGAGAGAGUGACCGGCCACAUUGGGACUGAGACACGGCCCAAACUCCUACGGGAGGCAGCAGUGGGGAAUAUUGGACAAUGGGGGAAACCCUGAUCCAGCGAACCGCCGCGUGAGUGAAGAAGUAUUUCGGUAUGUAAAGCUCUAUCAGCAGGGAAGAUAAUGACAGUACCUGACUAAGAAGCCCCGGCUAACUACGUGCCAGCAGCGGC